GUAACUGCAAGUCGUUGGCUUCGCAACUGAUCGGACUUCUCCAUCCUCGAUAAAUAUGCAGGCACCUACUUAGAUCAAAAGAGCCGUGCCGGACGUUUGGAUGGAACAAUGGCAGCAGUAUGCACAGGAUCACCACAGCAGUAAUUCCCUGAGGUGUAAAGACUUCAAUCAAAGGCCAUUUGUACUCAAUGUGGAACAUGGACA